AGUGGCGGACGGGUGAGGAAUACAUCGGAAUCUACUCUGUCGUGGGGGAUAACGUAGGGAAACUUACGCUAAUACCGCAUACGAUUGAAUGAGCCGAUGUCGGAUUAGCUAGUUGGCGGGGUAAAGGCCCACCAAGGCGACGAUCCGUAGCUGGUCUGAGAGGAUGAUCAGCCACACUGGAACUGAGACACGGUCCAGACUCCUACGGGAGGCAGCAGUGGGGAAUAUUGGACAAUGGGCGCAAGCCUGAUCCAGCCAUACCGCGUGGGUGAAGAAGGCCUUCGGGUUGUAAAGCCCUUUUGUUGGGAAAGCGGUACCCAAAGAAUAAGCACCGGCUAACUUCGUGCCAGCAGCCGCGGUAAUACGAAGGGUGCAAGCGUUACUCGGAAUUACUGGGCGUAAAGCGUGCGUAGGUGGUCGUUUAAGUCCGUUGUGAAAGCCCUGGGCCCAACCUGGGAACUGCAGUGGAUACUGGACGACUAGAGUGUGGUAGAGGGUAGCGGAAUUCCUGGUGUAGCAGUGAAAUGCGUAGAGAUC
rnacentral:rRNA from 1 species